ACUACCACAUCAGAGUAGAUAUCUAGACCAUGGUCCAUGGAGGACACAUGCUGAAACAAAUUUAUUCUGAAGGAAUGUAGGACAUGUAGGUGACCCACAAUGGAGUCGGAAAAAUGUGGGGAGGAGGAAGGAGCUGCAGGGAGGAACAUUUAGGUGCUGACAGUAACCACCUGUUUCCCACCCUGCCACACUUGUGGCAAGGAUGCAGGGAAUAAAGGACUGAAGUUGAGAAAAAUGAAUGGGUUGUGGAGGAAGGUGUUUUAGUUUCUUUGUUCCUCAACUUCCACACCUAUUUUAAUUGGCAACACAUUAAAUUAAUUUUCCCCAAUUUGAGUCUACUUUGCUUGUGACAAUAAUUUGUAAGUGAUCUCCCUGUCUGUGUCUCAAGCAAUCACUUUUUUCCUCUUGUUUCUCCUCUUGUCAUGUUGAGGAUAGGGAAUGAGAGAGAGCAGAUGGGUGGGUGUGUGGUUUAAUCCCAGCUGGCAGCUAAAUACCAUUCAACUUCUCACUCCCACCCCUACAAUCUCCUCCUGCUCCUCCACCUCCCCUGGUAGGGAGGAGAAUUGGUUAACCUCAUGGGUUCACAUAAGAUCAUCAUCAUCUCUAUCUCAUAUUAUUUUUAUUAUUAAUUGUAAUAAACACUAUAUAUAUAUGAAUAAUUACUAUAUAAUAUAUAAAUAUGUCAUAUAAUACAUAGUGUAUUACUUUUUGUUUAAUAACAAUUAAUAUUUAUAUCAAAUAUUUAUACUUAUAAUAAUAUUUAAAUUCAAUUUUCAUUAUUAUAAUUUUAAUAGCAAGUACUAUUAUCAUAAAUUAAUUUAUGAGGAGGAGGAGAAGAGAAAGAAACAAAACCCUAGAGAAAUAGGUAAUACACAGUUCAAUUCUCACCACCUCCUAAUCAACAUCCAGCCUGUCUGUGAGCAGUGAUCAACCCCACCUGGCCAACUCCCUCCAGUUUACAUACUGGGAAUUUCUAUAGUUCUAUAGAAACUAUAUCUAGUUUUAUUGUAAGUCACAGCCCUUUGGCCAGUUUGGAUCAGCUGUCCUGGCUGUGCUUCCUCAUGUGCAUUUGUGCACAUCAGUAUUGACAGAGCAUAGGAUGCUGAAAAGUCUUUGACUGAGGGUAACCACUACUUAGCAACCCCCAAAACAUCAGGGUAUCAUCAACAUUGCUCUCAUACUAAAUACAAAAAGCACAGCGCUGUACCAGCUACUAAGAAGAGAAUUAACUAUGCCCCAGAUGAAAACAGGAAAUCUGGGGUCUGACAGCCAGCUGAGAUCAGCCUUCUAAUCUUGAAAAUUUUUUAUCCAACUAUCUUGGGUAUUAGAGUUCUGAGAUUAGUAUCUCAGAUUCUGAGAGAAUGGAUAUUACACUUUGAAGAUGUCAAAUAAUAUCUUUAGUAAUUAAAUACCUGUCUUGCUACACAUCAUGAAGUAAUUAGACUCUCCAAAUAAGUCUUGCUGUAUAAAAUGCUGCUAAAGAAUUCUAGUUAGAUCAAAAGAUUAAAUGCAAAUGUGAAUACUAUGAUUGCAUGAUCAGAGGAAAUUAAUUUUAAACUCUGCAAGAAAACAAAAAAGAGAGGAGGAGGAAGUUUAGUGCUGUGUGGGUAUAACCAGAUUGUCAUUCUACACCACUCAGAUCAUCACUGGGAGUGUUGUUUUGUGCUCUUAGUAAACUGACAUCUCAGCCAAUAGUUGCUGCUUUUGGUCUCUCCCUUACCAUAAGAUGCCAUUCAUAAUCAUAUAAAUAUAUUAGAGUCGAUUUGUGGAAGACAUUUUGCAACAAAUGAAUGAGAAUAAGGUGAUUUGGAAUAUCAUAGUAAAAUGCUUUACUAUCAUGCAUCAAUCAUGCCUGAUUGCCUUCUGUGAUGAAGUGACUAGAUCUUUGCAUUAGGGAAGAGCAGCAGAAUUUUUCUACCUUAAAGUUCUGAAGGCUUUUGUCACAGGCUCCCACAGCAUCCUUGCACCCAGUUUGUAUCAUCCAGUUCCUGUUUAUGAAGAGGAUGAAGGAGAAGACAGGAAGCACCAUCAGAUUUGUGGUAGACGACAGUCUGGAAGUGCAGCUGAUACAGGACUGCCAUCCAGAGGGAACCAGACAAAGAAAAGGGCACUGGGAACAUUGUGAAAAUCAACAAGAAUAAAGGCACAUGGACAACAUUUCUGCAAUUUUCAGACGGAGACUUGAUAUCUGGGACUUGUCUCUGCAUUAAAGUACUUGGGGGCCCCUGGGGACAACAGGCUCAAAGAAGGUCAGCAGUGUGUCCUGAAGCAAUGAAAGCUAGCAGCAUUGGGUGUUGCAUUUACAAGAGCACAGCCAGAUGAUCAGUGAUCAUCCCCUUCUCGUCAGCACUCAUUAGACUACAUCUGUAUCCAGUUCUAGACUUUACAGCACAUGAAAGACACUGAAAAACGGACAGCUCCAGAGGAGGCCACUAGGAUAGUCAGGACUGGAGCACUUUGUGAGGGGAGUUUGAGAUGGGUUUGUUCUGCCAGAGGAAGAGAUGGCUUUGGGGGCAGUCGAAAUCCACACAGCACAUAUGGAUAUAUUUUGCAGUAAUGGAUCUUGAUGAGCCAGAAAGGGGAAUAGGAUAAGGCUGUUGGAGCUGUUAGUGUUUGUGUGUCAGCCUGUGGGCAGUGAGAACAGUAAAGUGGUUUCAAUGAGCUGUACUAUGCUGAUAAGGUGAUGGCAGUCCAGUCAAGGGAAUUGUUUUUUGCCCAUUCUUGGAGUUAAAUAUUAGAGACAUUUCAGAAAAACCACUUCUGUAAAACAACUCCCAGAGAAAAUUCAACUGACAUGGAUUAAUGCUGCAUCAGGUCCAACUGUCCUUGUACUUGCCUUUCCUAAACAACUUUUUGCUAAUAUCUGUGUGUUUGGAAGCACCAAUACCAGACAAAAGCCAGACAAAAGCCAUCAAGGCCUCUCCGUAGCUCUGUUCUGCAAUUGUGUAGUGAGACUCCAGGUGAGGUCUCACUAGACCUGAGCAAAGGGGCAGAAUCCUUCCCUUGCCCUGCUGGCCAUGCUGUUUUUGAUGCAUCCCAGAAACUGGUUUGCUGGCUCAUGUGCAGCUUCUCAUCCACCAGCACUCUCAAGUUCUUCUCUUGCUCUGUUCAUUCUCCAGCCUUUUUCGAUCUUGGGGAUUGCCCUAACCAAGGUGUAGCACCCUGCACUUGGUCUUGUUAAACCUCCUAAGAUUCCCAUGUACCCAUUUUGAGCUUGUCCAUGUCCCUCUGGGUGGCAUCCUGUCCAUCAGGUGUUCUUAUGUGUUGAUAUGAAAUUCAGGACAUCCAGAAUAAAAAAAAAAAAAUAGUUGAGAGGACUUAUGUGAUGUUCCUCGUAUUUAUCCAGCACUCAGUGACUGAAUAAACACAUUGUAAAUAAUUCUGGUGACAUAACUGAUGGAACCAAAACUUGCAAAACAAUGGAAAUAUUUUGGAGGAGACCAGCAAAGACCCAAAGCAAAUCUAGAAGACAAUUCUACUAAACUUCAAUUCAAGCUGAUUCUGGUCUUUGGUUAGUUAGGGACAUAUUCUCUUUGAGAACUUACUGUUAAAACACAUAUACUUCUAUCCUUAUUUUUGUUUAGACCUUUCUAGCAUAGCAAUAUUUGAUAAUACCAAGAUAUGAUAAUAUGUACAUUUAAAAUGGUAAAGCUAAGGUGAAAUAUAGGCAUGUCUAAUCCUGAAUUCUUUCAAAAGAUUAUAUUAAAUUAAAAAUGCUAUAAACAGCAGUUUUGCAGAACAAGGAUUAUGAUUUUAAGAUGCCAGAACUACUUUUCUUUUUCACUUUUCAUUUUACUUAAAAAUUUCUGUAGUCUCUUUAUAUAACACUAAUAAUAACCACUUAUCUAUGCAGAUAUCACAUCAAUACAUGCACUAUAAUCAGCCCCUCACAUGUAUUUUUUCUGUUUAAAUUCAGCUCAAUAGUUAUAGAACUCAAAGCAUGAAAAGAGGUGCAAUUUUAGUUCUGUCUUUCUGAUAAAGCAAGAAUGUUCUCUAGCAUAUGUUUUUUAGAACUUUUUGAAAUACUUAGCAUUACAGUAAAUUUAAUUUUUUUUCAAAUGUAUAAAUCUUAAAGCUUCUUUGAAAGACUAAUCACUGUUUAAUUUAUCACCCUUACCCAGACUUUUAAUCUGAGUUCUUUUGAACUGAUUUAAUCUUUGAUUAUGACUUGUGUAGAGGAGCCCUGCAGCUCAUACAGAAGUCAAACACAGUUCCUGUGGUGAAGCUGUGUCAUGUUCCUGCCAGAGGGAUUGUAAUGACUCCUGCCCUUGCAGCCUACAGAAAGAUAGCACUUAAGCAACCUAAAUUGCCAAUAGAAUUGCAUCUCUUAUUUGCUCUUAGCUGAGCACAAAAUAAUUUAAAUGACUAUGCAGAUUGCUCAUGUUUAAAUUCCCAGACUCGCCAGUACAAGAAAAAACACACACACCCCCCUAUCACCACCACCACCUCUAAAAAAUCCCAAAUAAAUAAAAAAGGGGUAGUUGAGCCUCAUGUCUUAAAUAGAUCUGAAGUUCACCUACACAACCAUUCCAUAAUGGAGGAGCAGCAGAUCUAGGGGUUUGGGUUUAUGUUUGUUUUAUGGAAUGUUCUCAGGAGGUGUUCAUCUCUUGAUGAUUUAAGGAAUGUUACAUUUGCCUUCUGACUCUUCAUCACAUAAAAAUGUAGCAUGCAAAACAUUUAUGAUGUUUUCUCUUCUGCUAUGAUGUCAUCCCUUCAUUUAACUCACUUUGAAUUUUUGUCUUUGAAAUUGUUUUCAAAGGCUAAAUUAACUUACUUAGACAUUUACUUCUAUUCAAGAUAUCUUUGAACAUAUUGUUUGUUUUGCACUGGAUAGUUCAUAGGAGCAGAAAACCUGUGGUUUUUCUACCAGCUUGACUAGCCAGUCUCAGGUACCCAAGAUAAUCUUAUAUACUGUUAAAGACAUAUGCUUAUGGCAUUUAAUCUAGUCACUCUAGAAAUCUUAACCAGAAGGAAUUUGUUAAAAAUCUCUUUCUUCUUUAAAUUUAAUUGGUAGAAAGAAGAGGCUGUUUUGGACUGUGGUUAGUCUCAUCCUACUAUAGGCAACUAAAAUCAAAUCUGUCGUGCCCUCUAGAAGUCACUUUCCUUCCACUGGUCAUAAAGGAGUUUGAAUAACCAUCAUAUUGACAUUGUGCUUUUCUUAAAUUUGUAGAGAAGAUUCUCACACCAAAUGUUUUAUUGAAUGUGGCUUUUAAGGUUUGGUUACUUCAAUCAUCUUCCAGAAGUACUUCCAGUAUUAAUUCAUGACCAGCAACAUGCAUCCCUGUUUGAAAAUCUAAGUGAAAAUUUAGCUUUAAAUAGUUAAAUAGCUAUUUAUAAGAAAAUAACUGCAGUUGAUCUGAUUCCUGAUUUUCUGUGCAGAAGCAGAUUCUUGCAGCGUCUGGAAGCCAAACAUAUAUGUCUUUUUGUGUUCUGUCAGCACUCUACUACAGUAA